rnacentral:rRNA from 1 species
UACGAACUGUGCAAACGUUAUUCGGAAUCACUGGGCUUACAGGGUGCGUAGGCGGUCUGUUAAGUAGGGUGUGAAAGCCCCCGGCUCAACCGGGGAAUUGCGCUUCAAACUGUCGGGCUCGAGGGAGAUAGAGGUGAGCGGAACUGAUGGUGGAGCGGUGAAAUGCGUUGAUAUCAUCAGGAACACCAGAGGCGAAGGCGGCUCACUGGGUCUCUUCUGACGCUGAGGAACGAAAGCUAGGGGAGCAAACGGG